GAUGAACGCUAGCGGCAGGCUUAACACAUGCAAGUCGAGGGGUAUAGUUCUUCGGAGCUAGAGACCGGCGCACGGGUGCGUAACGCGUAUGCAAUCUACCUUCUACAGAGGGAUAGCCCAGAGAAAUUUGGAUUAAUACCUCAUAGUAUGUGAGAAUCGCAUGGUUUUCACAUUAAAGUUCCAACGGUAAAAGAUGAGCAUGCGUUCCAUUAGCUAGAUGGUAAGGUAACGGCUUACCAUGGCGACGAUGGGUAGGGGUCCUGAGAGGGAGAUCCCCCACACUGGUACUGAGACACGGACCAGACUCCUACGGGAGGCAGCAGUGAGGAAUAUUGGACAAUGGGCGCAAGCCUGAUCCAGCCAUGCCGCGUGCAGGAUGACGGUCCUAUGGAUUGUAAACUGCUUUUGUACAGGAAGAAACACUCCCUCGUGAGGGAGCUUGACGGUACUGUAAGAAUAAGGAUCGGCUAACUCCGUGCCAG
rnacentral:rRNA from 1 species